rnacentral:tRNA from 1 species
UAAAAGAUAAGCUAAUUAAGCUAGUGGGCUCAUACCCCGUAAAUGAAGGUUCUAAUCUUUCUCUUUUUA